rnacentral:rRNA from 1 species
GAGUUUGAUUCUGGCUCAGAGUGAACGCUGGCGGCGUGCCUAACACAUGCAAGUCGCACGAGAACGCUUCAGCUUGCUGAAGCAAGUAAAGUGGCGCACGGGUGAGUAACGCGUGGGCAAUCUACCUUCGAAUCGGGGAUAACUCCGCGAAAGCGGAGCUAAUACCGGAUAAUCUUUCAGAGGCUAAGGUUUUUGGAAUUAAAGGGGGCCUCUACAUGUAAGCUCCUGUUUGAAGAUGAGCCCGCGUACCAUUAGCUUGUUGGUAGGGUAAUGGCCUACCAAGGCUACGAUGGUUAGCUGGUCUGAGAGGAUGAUCAGCCACACUGGCACUGACACACGGGCCAGACUCCUACGGGAGGCAGCAGUGAGGAAUUUUGCGCAAUGGGGGAAACCCUGACGCAGCAACGCCGCGUGAGUGAUGAAGGCCUUCGGGUCGUAAAGCUCUGUCAAGUGGGAAGAACCUGUGAUAUGCCAAUACCAUAUCGCACUGACGGUACCACUGAAGGAAGCACCGGCUAACUCCGUGCCAGCAGCCGCGGUAAUACGGAGGGUGCAAGCGUUACUCGGAAUU